ensembl:lncRNA
CCAUCAGCCCCACUCUCCUCUGUGCAGUCCCCUCACUACCCCACACUCCUCUGAAAGCCCCUCAAUGCCCCACUCUCCUCCGGGCAGUCCCCCCUCUGCCCCAGUCUCUCCGUACCCUCACUGCCUGACACUCCUCUGUACAGUACCCUCACAGCUCAACUCUCCUCUUUGCAGUUCCCUCAGUGCCCCCUCUCCUCUGCAGUCCCUUCACUGUCCAUCAGCCCCACUUUCCCAUGUGCAGGCCCCUCACUGGCCACUCUCCUCAGUGCAGGCCCCUCACUGCCCAUCAGCACAACUCUCCUCUGUGCAGGCCCCUCACUGGCCACUCUCCUCUGUGCAGGACCCUCACUGCCCAUCAGCACCACUCUCCUCUGUGCAAGCCCCUCACUGGCCACUCUCCUCUGUGCAGGCCCCUCACUCGCCACUCCCCUCUGUGCGGGCCCCUCACUGCCCAUCAGCACCACUCUCCUCUGUGCAGGCCCUUCACUGGCCCACUCUCCUCUGUGCAGGCCCCUCACUGCCCAUCAGCACCACACUCCUCUGUGCAGGCUCCUUACUGGCCCACUCUCCUCUGUGCAGGCCCCUCUCUGCCCAUCAGCACCACUCUCCUCUGUGCAGGCCCCUCAAUGCCCCACUCUGCUCUGCGCCAAACUCUCACUGCCCCACUCUGAUCCGUGCAGUCCACUCACUACCCCACUCUCCAGUUCCCUCACUGCCCCACUCUUCUCUGUGCGGUCCCCUCA